GAUAUGUUUUAAAUACACACCCGGCAGGACCAACAAAUUUCGUCACACCUACUAUUGGAAUGCUAAGCAUCAUACGACACGAAACAUUUGAUCAGGGACAUAUGGCCGGAAACAAGGGACAUAUGGCCGGAAACAAAAUAUGACGGAUGAAUGCUAUACACCUCAAGGAGUUGGGACCUAAUCGAGACAUAUAUGAGGCAAGCUUAUUAAAAUUGUAGAAAUCCCAAAUUAGCCAUCCC
rnacentral:lncRNA from 1 species